GACGAACGCUGGCGGCGUGCUUAACACAUGCAAGUCGAACGGAAAGGCCCUGCUUUUGUGGGGUGCUCGAGUGGCGAGCGGGUGAGUAACACGUGAGUAACCUGCCCUUGACUUUGGGAUAACUUCAGGAAACUGGGGCUAAUACCGGAUAGGAGCUCCUGCUGCAUGGUGGGGGUUGGAAAGUUUCGGCGGUUGGGGAUGGACUCGCGGCUUAUCAGCUUGUUGGUGGGGUAGUGGCUUACCAAGGCUUUGACGGGUAGCCGGCCUGAGAGGGUGACCGGCCACAUUGGGACUGAGAUACGGCCCAGACUCCUACGGGAGGCAGCAGUGGGGAAUAUUGCACAAUGGGCGGAAGCCUGAUGCAGCAACGCCGCGUGCGGGAUGACGGCCUUCGGGUUGUAAACCGCUUUCGCCUGUGACGAAGCGUGAGUAACGGUAAUGGGUAAAGAAGCACCGGCUAACUACGUG
rnacentral:rRNA from 1 species